rnacentral:rRNA from 1 species
AUUGAACGCUGGCGGCAGGCUUAACACAUGCAAGUCGAACGGUAACAGGAAGCAGCUUGCUGCUUCGCUGACGAGUGGCGGACGGGUGAGUAAUGUCUGGGAAGCUGCCUGAUGGAGGGGGAUAACUACUGGAAACGGUAGCUAAUACCGCAUAAUGUCGCAAGACCAAAGAGGGGGACCUUCGGGCCUCUUGCCAUCGGAUGUGCCCAGAUGGGAUUAGCUUGUUGGUGGGGUAACGGCUCACCAAGGCGACGAUCCCUAGCUGGUCUGAGAGGAUGACCAGCCACACUGGAACUGAGACACGGUCCAGACUCCUACGGGAGGCAGCAGUGGGGAAUAUUGCACAAUGGGCGCAAGCCUGAUGCAGCCAUGCCGCGUGUAUGAAGAAGGCCUUCGGGUUGUAAAGUACUUUCAGCGGGGAGGAAGGGAGUAAAGUUAAUACCUUUGCUCAUUGACGUUACCCGCAGAAGAAGCACUGGCUAACUCCGUG